UGCAGAGUAUUCCAAAGGGUCCCAAGAGA
rnacentral:piRNA from 1 species